CUGUCAGGCCUUCUCAGUGGAUCUGGCUGUUUUCUCCUAAGGGUCCGAAAUCUCCUCACCAUGCUCUGGGCUCCCCUCAUCGUCCUACUGGGGACGUGGUGCACAGGUUCCAGCUCGCAGACUGUGGUGACUCAGCCGCCUUUAGUGUCAGUGUCCCCAGGAAACACCGUGAAACUCUCCUGCACCAUGAGCAGUGGGACCAGCAUCGGUGACCACGUUGUGUCCUGGUACCAGCAGAAAUCUGGGAAUUCCCCACGAUACCUGCUGUAUUACUAUUCAGAGUCCGACAAGGGCCAGGGCUCUGGGGUCCCUGCUCGCUUCUCUGGUUCCAAAGACACGUCCAGUAACGCCGGCUAUCUGACCAUCUCCGGGGCACUGGCAGAGGAUGAGGCUGAUUAUUACUGUGCUGUGAGGAAGCGUGGCACUGGUGUUCUACACUGUGACACAGACAGAUGGGGAAGUGAGACAAAAACAUCCUUCCCUCCUCUCCCCCGGCCUGGGCCCUGUGUGCAAACUUCACCAGUUGCACAGUUUUGUCUCUGGCUGCGACAAAUCACACAGCAGUUUGUGACCAGGAAAUUCAGUCCAUACAGCUAUUUACAGCUCCCUCCUCAUUGUCCUUCUGCAGGAUGGGGACUAUGACCUUCUUCUCCCUAAGAGUCAGCAUCCCCUCUGCUAUCAGAGUGGGGAGCGGGAGACAAUACUCCUAUCACAGCCGUAAGUGUCAGCACAAUUUAAUUCCUUCUCAGACCUUCCCCAAGGCCUCCAGCAAACACAAUGGAGUCAGGCCCU